rnacentral:rRNA from 1 species
GAUGAACGCUGGCGGCGUGCCUAAUACAUGCAAGUAGAACGCUGAAGCUUGGUUCUUGCACCGAGCGGAUGAGUUGCGCACGGGUGAGUAACGCGUAGGUAACCUGCCUGGUAUCGGGGGAUCACUAUUGGAAACGAUCGCUAAUCCCGCAUAACAGUCUAUAUUGCAUGAUGUCUGCUUGAAAGGUGCCAAUGCAUCACUACCACAUGGCCCUUCGUUGUAUUAGCUAGUUGGUGAGGUAACGGCUCACCAAGGCGACGCUACAUAGCAGAACUGAGAGGAUGAUCGGCCACACUGGGAGGGAGACACGGCCCAGAGGGAUACGGGAGGCAGCAGUAGGGAUUCGGGGGCAAUGGGGGGAAAACUGAGCGAGAAACGCCGAGGGAGGGAGGAAGGACUCCGGAUCGUAGAGCUCUGUUGUAAGAGAAGAACGAGUGUGAGAGUGGAAAGUACAGAGUGUGACGGUAUCUGACCAGAAAGGGACGGCUAACUACGUG